rnacentral:rRNA from 1 species
AGUCGAGCGGACAGAUGGGAGCUUGCUCCCUGAUGUUAGCGGCGGACGGGUGAGUAACACGUGGGUAACCUGCCUGUAAGACUGGGAUAACUCCGGGAAACCGGGGCUAAUACCGGAUGCUUGUUUGAACCGCAUGGUUCAAACAUAAAAGGUGGCUUCGGCUACCACUUACAGAUGGACCCGCGGCGCAUUAGCUAGUUGGUGAGGUAACGGCUCACCAAGGCAACGAUGCGUAGCCGACCUGAGAGGGUGAUCGGCCACACUGGGACUGAGACACGGCCCAGACUCCUACGGGAGGCAGCAGUAGGGAAUCUUCCGCAAUGGACGAAAGUCUGACGGAGCAACGCCGCGUGAGUGAUGAAGGUUUUCGGAUCGUAAAGCUCUGUUGUUAGGGAAGAACAAGUACCGUUCGAAUAGGGCGGUACCUUGACGGUACCUAACCAGAAAGCCACGGCUAACUACGUGCCAGCAGCCGCGGUAAUACGUAGGUGGCAAGCGUUGUCCGGAAUUAUUGGGCGUAAAGGGCUCGCAGGCGGUUUCUUAAGUCUGAUGUGAAAGCCCCCGGCUCAACCGGGGAGGGUCAUUGGAAACUGGGGAACUUGAGUGCAGAAGAGGAGAGUGGAAUUCCACGUGUAGCGGUGAAAUGCGUAGAGAUGUGGAGGAACACCAGUGGCGAAGGCGACUCUCUGGUCUGUAACUGACGCUGAGGAGCGAAAGCGUGGGGAGCGAACAGGAUUAGAUACCCUGGUAGUCCACGCCGUAAACGAUGAGUGCUAAGUGUUAGGGGGUUUCCGCCCCUUAGUGCUGCAGCUAACGCAUUAAGCACUCCGCCUGGGGAGUACGGUCGCAAGACUGAAACUCAAAGGAAUUGACGGGGGCCCGCACAAGCGGUGGAACAUGUGGUUUAAUUCGAAGCAACGCGAAAAACCUUACCAGGUCUUGACAUCCUCUGACAAUCCUAAAAAUAGGACGUCCCCUUCCGGGGCAAAAUGACAGGUGGUGCAUGGUUG